rnacentral:rRNA from 1 species
CACGUAGGGUGCGAGCGUUGUCCGGAAUUAUUGGGCGUAAAGAGCUCGUAGGCGGUGUGUCGCGUCGGCCGUGAAAACCUGCAGCUUAACUGUGGGCUUGCGGUCGAUACGGGCAUCACUGGAGUUCGGCAGGGGAGACUGGAAUUCCAGGUGAUAGCGGUGAAAUGCGUAGAUAUCAGGAGGAACACCGGUGGCGAAGGCGGAUCUCUGGGCCAUUACUGACGCUGAGGAGCGAAAGCGUGGGGAGCGAACAGG